UUGCUCGCUUUGGCAGCACAUGCACUAAAAUUGGACAAUACACAAAAGAUAAGCGUCGCCCUUGUGACAUGCAAAUUCGUGAAGUGUUCCAUAUUUUU
rnacentral:snRNA from 1 species